UAUGAACAGUUUUUAAAAAAAUGGGAAAACAGAAGCACAGAGAGGGGAAGUGACUUGCACAAGGUCAUGCAGCAAGUCACUGUCAGAGGCAUAAAUUAAAUCCAGGUUUCUGCUAUCUUGUGACCUGUUCUAGCCACAAGACACCUGAACAAACCUGGGAAAGUGGCUGGCAGCGUGAUUCAACAGCUUUCCCUUCCUAAUGCAUCCCCUGCCCCUCUUCCCUUACUGCUUCCAGCAUUCAGAGGCCUCAAAAGUCCUAAUCUGUAGGUUGCACUGAUGGGCCUGCCCUGCAGGAAUUUGUACAGUCCUCCUUUGAACCUGGUUAAAUUAUUGGCGUCAACAACAUCUUGUGGCACUUGAUGAUCGCCUACUAGGCCAUCCCUUCAUUUUAUUCCCUGUCUGUGCAUCAGUGAAACUGGGGCAGCAUCUUCCACUCUCCCCACCGGAGAUUGCGUGAUGGUGUCGUUUCUCAGGGACGUGUCUGCACACACAGAUGAUGAGACGCGUGCUAAUUUGAUGUAGCCCCAAGUUGUUUCUUAUGUCCUGAUCCAUUCAGGCAAACUCCUGCCCCCAGGCAGAGUCCCACCUGGUUCUGGCUUUGUGGAUCAGGUUACAGCAGGGGUGGGCAAAGUGCAGCCCGUGGGCUGGAUGUGGCCUGCCAGGCCAAUCUAUCUGGCCCACAGGGCCCUGCAAAAAUUUAGAAAAUAAAUAUUUAUUUGCCCCUGGCUGCCUGUCAUGCGGCCCUCAAUGGCUGGCCAAAACUCAGUACGCGACCCUCCGCCUGAAAUAAUUGCCUGUCCCUGGGUUACAGGAUCAGGGCCUUUGGUUGAAACCUCUGUGGGGCAAGGCCUGUAAUCAGGAAAAACACAACAGAAAAAAUAGCAAACAAUACAGUAUGUGUGUGUGUCUUCUGUGCAGAUUUGGCUCCAAACAAGCUUCUGGUAAGCCAAAACGCAGCCUGGCUCCUCAGCUAACUUCCAUUCCAUCCAUUGGAUUUCUUUGUUUGCUCACACAGAGCCUGUGAUAACAAUUGACUAUAUUCAAGACAAAUAUUCGCUGUUUUGCAGACCCAUCAAGUGACACAGUGACCCAUCUCAUUUCAGUAUGAGGAGAAUGGAAGAUAAUUUCUGCAUAGGAAGAAUGGUCCCGUGGCAGUGAGCAAGUGAGGUCCUCAUGUUCUCCAGUGGAACAGAACCAGGACUGGGGGGAGAGGAGGAAUCACUCGCUUUAGAGCUACUUCAGAAAAAAAAUCAGACACUGAUAGCGUGGAGCAGAGACUUGAUUGCAUGCAGAUUCGCUGCAGAAUGAAAAUUUACGCCAACAAAACACAUUUCAUAUUCAAAACCACAGUG